CUGGCUCAGGAUGAACGCUAGCUACAGGCUUAACACAUGCAAGUCGAGGGGCAGCAUGGUCUUAGCUUGCUAAGGCCGAUGGCGACCGGCGCACGGGUGAGUAACACGUAUCCAACCUGCCGUCUACUCUUGGACAGCCUUCUGAAAGGAAGAUUAAUACAAGAUGGCAUCAUGAGUCCGCAUGUUCACAUGAUUAAAGGUAUUCCGGUAGACGAUGGGGAUGCGUUCCAUUAGAUAGUAGGCGGGGUAACGGCCCACCUAGUCUUCGAUGGAUAGGGGUUCUGAGAGGAAGGUCCCCCACAUUGGAACUGAGACACGGUCCAAACUCCUACGGGAGGCAGCAGUGAGGAAUAUUGGUCAAUGGGCGAGAGCCUGAACCAGCCAAGUAGCGUGAAGGAUGACUGCCCUAUGGGUUGUAAACUUCUUUUAUAAAGGAAUAAAGUCGGGUAUGCAUACCCGUUUGCAUGUACUUUAUGAAUAAGGAUCGGCUAACUCCGUGCCAGCAGCCGCGGUAAUACGGAGGAUCCGAGCGUUAUCCGGAUUUAUUGGGUUUAAAGGGAGCGUAGAUGGAUGUUUAAGUCAGUUGUGAAAGUUUGCGGCUCAACCGUAAAAUUGCAGUUGAUACUGGAUAUCUUGAGUGCAGUUGAGGCAGGCGGAAUUCGUGGUGUAGCGGUGAAAUGCUUAGAUAUCACGAAGAACUCCGAUUGCGAAGGCAGCCUGCUAAGCUGCAACUGACAUUGAGGCUCGAAAGUGUGGGUAUCAAACAGGAUUAGAUACCCUGGUAGUCCACACGGUAAACGAUGAAUACUCGCUGUUUGCGAUAUACUGCAAGCGGCCAAGCGAAAGCGUUAAGUAUUCCACCUGGGGAGUACGCCGGCAACGGUGAAACUCAAAGGAAUUGACGGGGGCCCGCACAAGCGGAGGAACAUGUGGUUUAAUUCGAUGAUACGCGAGGAACCUUACCCGGGCUUAAAUUGCAGAUGAAUUACGGUGAAAGCCGUAAGCCGCAAGGCAUCUGUGAAGGUGCUGCAUGGUUGUCGUCAGCUCGUGCCGUGAGGUGUCGGCUUAAGUGCCAUAACGAGCGCAACCCUUGUUGUCAGUUACUAACAGGUUCCGCUGAGGACUCUGACAAGACUGCCAUCGUAAGAUGUGAGGAAGGUGGGGAUGACGUCAAAUCAGCACGGCCCUUACGUCCGGGGCUACACACGUGUUACAAUGGGGGGUACAGAGGGCCGCUACCACGCGAGUGGAUGCCAAUCCCCAAAACCUCUCUCAGUUCGGACUGGAGUCUGCAACCCGACUCCACGAAGCUGGAUUCGCUAGUAAUCGCGCAUCAGCCACGGCGCGGUGAAUACGUUCCCGGGCCUUGUACACACCGCCCGUCAAGCCAUGGGAGCCGGGGGUACCUGAAGUGCG
rnacentral:rRNA from 2 species